UUGGGCCAAUACCGAAAGCUCUAGCACUUCCCUCAGUCGGUUAAGCUCGAAACGUACGUCUUCCCCGUUUCACCGUUCUCCGGUUUCUCUCCUCCACCUCGUCCGCCGACGCAGAGAUCUCCCUGCACCGCCGCGAGGAUCCGCCGGCGCCGUCGCCGUCGCCGUCGCCUCCGCCGUCUCCGUCCGCGAUCCUUCCCGACGCUCGGGCCGAGCGAGCCUCGAUCCGGAUCGCAUUCGCCUCCCUCCGAUCCCGCGUCCUCUCUCUCUCUCUCUCUCUUCGAACUCCGGUCCAGAUUGGAUCCCUCCUCCGCGGCUCGCGAAGGAGCGAAGGGAGGAAAGAGCGGCUGCCGGCUGAAGUUCCGAUCGCGCGCUCGAGCGAUGAACUACAGAAGGGAGCCCCGUGCUGCUAAAGCGGCUCUUUUUGACGGUUAUAAUGGUCUUGAGGAAGGCCUUAGAGCCUCCUCAUCCUACUCCCAUCAGAUUAAUGAGCAUGACAAUGACAAAGCAGUUGACAGUUUACAAGAUAGAGUUAUAUUCCUGAAAAGAUUAACAGGGGAUAUUCAUGAGGAGGUAGAAAGUCAUAAUCGCUUUCUUGAUCAAAUGGGCAACAGCAUGGAUUCAUCAAGAGGUGUCAUGUCAGGAACCAUGGAUCGAUUUAAGAGGUGCCGCAUUUACUUGAACCGGGGGAAUUACCUCUUCAAAUUUCCUCUUGGUGGGAAGGUUUCAUAGUUGAGUUCCUUACAACUUGGCAGAAUGAAUAUUUGUUCAAAAUCUUCAUCAUGUAAAAGUUUCUUGGAUAUUUCAUGCAUGGUUGAGGGAACAACUCUUGAACUUCCUCUCUUAAUAUCCGGUGAAAGUUUGGUUUCACAGAAAAGGCAUGGUCCUUUAAUCUAAGGAGUUCUUUUUGAUCUUCAAUUGAAACUGUAGCAUGGAAUGGUGGAGAGAACCGCUUGACGUAAGUCAAAUUCCUGGCUAGCUUGUCACUACCUUGAUAUGAACUAUAGAAUCAUGUAAAUCCCGAUUGAAUUUCAUUUAGCCAGAAUUCUUUUCUGAUUCUCUGAGAUUAGUAUCAUUUUGCCCCAUUUUAUCCCCUGGGAUAUCCCUAUAUAAGUCAAGUGGCUAAUGGCAAGAACUUGUUCAUAAUAUUGCUCUAGUUAAACCUCUAAUCCGGAGAGACCAUUCCGGAGAAUAGAGAACAUGAAUUGACAGUGGACUAUGCACCUUUGGCAA